UACGUAGGGGGCAAGCGUUGUCCGGAUUUAUUGGGCGUAAAGAGCGUGUAGGCGGCCAGGUAGGUCUGCUGUGAAAACUCGAGGCUUAACCUCGAGCUGUCGGCGGAAACCAUCUGGCUAGAGUCCGGAAGAGGAGAAUGGAAUUCCCGGUGUAGCGGUGAAAUGCGUAGAUAUCUGGAGGAACACCGAUGGCGAAGGCAGCCCCCUGGGCUAACACUGACGCUCAUGCACGAAAGCGUGGGGAGCAAACAGG
rnacentral:rRNA from 1 species